UAUCUCUGUAGAGUCUGCAUAUCAAUAAGCGGAGGAAAAGAAACUAACAAGGAUUCCCUCAGUAACGGCGAGUGAGGCGGGAAGAGCUCAAAUUUGAAAUCUUCAAGGUUCUACCUUGACGAAUUGUAGUUUAAAGAAGUGUUUUCUGUUGGAGUUUUGGUAAAAGUUCUUUGGAGUAGGACAUCAUAGAGGGUGAGAAUCCCGUAUUUGACCAUUAUUUCCAGCUUUGUGAUACACUUUCAAAGAGUCGGAUUGUUUGGGAAUGCAGUCCAAAAUGGGUGGUAAAUUUCAUCUAAAGCUAAAUACUGGCGAGAGACCGAUAGCGAACAAGUACCGUGAGGGAAAGAUGAAAAGAACUUUGAAAAGAGAGUUAAACAGUACGUGAAAUUGUCAAAAGGGAAGCGUUUGACACCAGUGUUGUUUUCUCGAAAAUCAAUUAAAAAAUGGCGGGAUUUUGUGUUGUAUUGACCUUAUCGAGCUUUCUUCACUCUUUUUCCUGUCUUUUUUAAUGCACUUUUCGUUUAACAAGUCAACAUCAGUUUCUUUUGUUGUAAAAGGGUCAUUGGAAGGUGGCUUUCUUUUCGGAGAAAGUGUUUAUAGCCUUUGGCCUCUGCAAUCGGAGAGAUUGAGGUCUGCAGCGUAGAUCCUUCGGGGUUAGAUGCAUUUGUGCUAAGCUAUAGCCUUUCAUAGACAACUUGUUGACUAUGAUCAGUCAUGUAGCUUACUCGCUUAUGCUAUUUUACCUACGCUUAGGAUGUUGAGUAGCGACAUACGCAC
rnacentral:rRNA from 1 species